UACGGGGGGGGCAAGCGUUGUUCGGAAUUACUGGGCGUAAAGGGCGCGUAGGCGGCCUGCUAAGUCGGACGUGAAAUCCCUCGGCUCAACCGGGGAACUGCGUCCGAUACUGGCGAGGCUUGAAUCCGGGAGAGGGAUGUGGAAUUCCAGGUGUAGCGGUGAAAUGCGUAGAUAUCUGGAGGAAUACCGGUGGCGAAGGCGGCAUCCUGGACCGGCAUUGACGCUGAGGAGCGAAAGCAUGGGGAGCGAACAGG
rnacentral:rRNA from 1 species